GGAAGAAAACGAGAAGGGACGGACAAACACAAACUUCCAACUGGAAGUUUGUGUUUGUCCGUCCCUUCUCGUUUUCUUCC
rnacentral:pre_miRNA from 1 species